AUGCUCAGCCUCAUAGUUUACAUCUUAUGUUACAUGAACGAUCCUAUCGAGCCCUUUGGCGCCGGCUCUUACCCAGAGUUCCGCCUCUUGUUUUAUGUGCUCGACAAGCUUGUUGUAGGAGGGAGCAGCAUUGUCGAAGAGAGCUGCGUUGCGAUGCUUCCAAAGUGCCCAAGAGGUGAGGAUGAUGAUGGAGUUGAUCCCUUUGCGGAGGCAGGCUGGCGCGCUGGUCGUCGUUGCCAUCCACCAGUCGAAGAAGCCGGAAGUGCCAUCAGGGGGAAGGACGGGUAUGCGGCACCAUGCCAUGAUGUCGUGCCAAAUGAUGCGCGAGAAGACGCAACCGACGAGAAGGCGGUGCGGAGUCUCGCUGUCUUGGCUACACAGCUUGCAAAUGGGGUCAUGAGGAAGAUUGUGGCGCGCUCUCCGGUCGGCGGUCCAGCAUCUGUUGAGAGAGGCAAGCCAGAGGAAAAUCUUCGCAUUGGAAGGAGCCCAAGUCUUCCAGAUGGGGCGCCAGAAUGGCGCGGUGGUGGCGCCAAUGAACAGCGCGUGGUAGGCUGA
rnacentral:rRNA from 1 species